rnacentral:rRNA from 1 species
GACGAACGCUGGCGGCGUGCCUAAUACAUGCAAGUCGAGCGGACGGAUGGGAGCUUGCUCCCAGACCGUCAGCGGCGGACGGGUGAGUAACACGUGGGCAACCUGCCUGUAAGACUGGGAUAACUCCGGGAAACCGGGGCUAAUACCGGAUAACUCUUUCCCUCACAUGAGGGAAAGCUGAAAGAUGGCAUCUCGCUAUCACUUACAGAUGGGCCCGCGGCGCAUUAGCUAGUUGGUGAGGUAACGGCUCACCAAGGCGACGAUGCGUAGCCGACCUGAGAGGGUGAACGGCCACACUGGGACUGAGACACGGCCCAGACUCCUACGGGAGGCACCAGUAGGGAAUCUUCCGCAAUGGACGAAAGUCUGACGGAGCAACGCCGCGUGAGUGAUGAAGGUUUUCGGAUCGUAAAACUCUGUUGUCAGGGAAGAACAAGUACCGGAGUACCUGCCGGUACCUUGACGGUACCUGACCAGAAAGCCACGGCUAACUACGUG